rnacentral:rRNA from 1 species
GACGAACGCGGGCGGCGUGCCUAAUACAUGCAAGUAGAACGCGAAGGAGGAGCUUGCUUCUCUGGAUGAGUUGCGAACGGGUGAGUAACGCGUAGGUAACCUGCCUGGUAGCGGGGGAUAACUAUUGGAAACGAUAGCUAAUACCGCAUAAGAGUAGAUGUUGCAUGACAUUUGCUUAAAAGGUGCAAUUGCAUCACUACCAGAUGGACCUGCGUUGUAUUAGCUAGUUGGUGGGGUAACGGCUCACCAAGGCGACGAUAUAUAGCCGACCUGAGAGGGUGAUCGGCCACACUGGGACUGAGACACGGCCCAGACUCCUACGGGAGGCAGCAGUAGGGAAUCUUCGGCAAUGGACGGAAGUCUGACCGAGCAACGCCGCGUGAGUGAAGAAGGUUUUCGGAUCGUAAAGCUCUGUUGUAAGAGAAGAACGAGUGUGAGAGUGGAAAGUUCACACUGUGACGGUAUCUUACCAGAAAGGGACGGCUAACUACGUGCCAGCAGCCGCGGUAAUACGUAGGUGGCAAGCGUUAUCCGGAUUUAUUGGGCGUAAAGAGAGUGCAGGCGGUUUUCUAAGUCUGAUGUGAAAGCCUUCGGCUUAACCGGAGAAGUGCAUCGGAAACUGGAUAACUUGAGUGCAGAAGAGGGUAGUGGAACUCCAUGUGUAGCGGUGGAAUGCGUAGAUAUAUGGAAGAACACCAGUGGCGAAGGCGGCUACCUGGUCUGCAACUGACGCUGAGACUCGAAAGUAUGGGUAGCGAACAGG